UACAGAGGGUGCAAGCGUUGUUCGGAAUCAUUGGGCGUAAAGGGCGCGUAGGCGGCCUGUCAAGUCAACUGUGAAAGCCCAGGGCUCAACCUUGGAAGUGCAGCUGAAACUGACAGGCUCGAAUCUCGGAGAGGGUGGUAGAAUUCCCAGUGUAGAGGUGAAAUUCGUAGAUAUUGGGAGGAAUACCGGUGGCGAAGGCGACCGCCUGGACGAAGAUUGACGCUGAGGCGCGAGAGCGUGGGGAGCAAACAGG
rnacentral:rRNA from 1 species